ACGGUGUAAGGUACGGCUCAACAUAAACACACAGCUCAUUAUAAUCGCUUUGAAGUAUACUGAGUUUCCAGACCAUGUCUCGAAAGACUGUGAGCCAAUUUAUGUUUAAGAAAUUUAACGUAAUUAUAAUCAGUGCUGUAAAAAUUACUUCUCAAAGUUUUGAGCACAGGCCCACAAAAGGAUCUAGGAACCAGUAUGCAAAGAUAAAUUUGAGCCAAGGAUGACUUAUUUUUGGACGUUUUCAUCGUGAUUAUAGACUGAUUUAGAAAACAAAACGCGAAUUGAAAGAUAUGUGCCUUCCGAAGCGAAGAAUUUCUUCAUGCAAAACAAAACGUUUGAAUAAUUUGUGAUCCCAGAGGUAUCCUCAACAACGUUCUCAUUCUGAAUACAACGUUAAACUAAAAUUUUAACGUCAUUAUUGUAGCAACGUGAAUGCUUGUUUCGACGUAGCCGUUUGUAUAAGGUUAUUUUAAAGUGCGUAUGACAUGAAAUUUCUUAUUUUCUUAAACGAAAGAACUAGCGAUCUUUAAGCUGUAGUGUAAGUUUUUUCAGUUUCUUGUUUUUAUGGUUUGUUCCCGAGAUAUUUCAAUUUGUUUGAUAUGUAAAUGAGUGUGAAUAUGUCCUCUAAUUUAUGACGUCAUGUUGGUUGCAAGCUCUUCAAAAUGGUUGAAUAUCACUGCUAUCAUCCAAGAUGAUAAUUUCAAACUUCAUUCACUGGUAAANNNNNNNNNNNNNNNNNNNNCCCCCCCCCCUAUGUCCGAGUUUGUCCUGAUUUUCCAAACCCUCCUCCCCCCCUUGGCUCGGACAUCCUUUGGGAAUGCCCCCUUUCUUGUUUUUAUGGUUUGUUCCCGAGAUACUUCAAUUUGUUUGAUAUGUAAAUGAGUGUGAAUAUGUCCGCUAAUUUAUGACGUCAUGUUGGUUGCAAGCUCUUCAAAAUGGUUGAAUAUCACUGCUAUCAUCCAAGAUGAUAAUUUCAAACUUCAUUCACUGGUAAAUGUGAUGAAACACUGUAGAAAAACGUGAACAGAUAUCUCCAGUUUUUCGAGUUAAUACAUUUAUAACCAGUGUAAGUUGAGCUUGCAACCAACAUGACGUCAUAAAUUAGCGGACAUAUUCAAAUCAUUUAAAUAACAAACAAAUUGAAAUAUCUCUGGAAC
rnacentral:lncRNA from 1 species